rnacentral:rRNA from 1 species
GACGAACCGUGCGAGCGUUGUUCGGAUUCACUGGGCUUAAAGGGCGCGUAGGCGGUCGGCCAAGUCUGGGGUGAAAUCUUUCGGCUCAACCGGAAAAGUGCCCCCGAUACUGGCCGUCUAGAGGGAGGUAGGGGCAUGUGGAACUUCCGGUGGAGCGGUGAAAUGCGUAGAUAUCGGAAGGAACGCCGGUGGCGAAAGCGACGUGCUGGACCUCAUCUGACGCUGAGGCGCGAAAGCCAGGGGAGCAAACGGG